UGCGCAAUCUCUUCUUAAACACGCAAUCUUCGCAAUCCUCUGCUGGGCGCCGCGCGAUAAGCUUUACCCCAUGAUCACCGCCCGGACAUGAGUCCACUGCGAGCCGCCCAAUCAGGUGGCUGGCGGCCACCGCCCCCACAGGGAGCGAGCUGGCCACCGGGUUGACGCUGGCUCAAUCAGGCCGGCCGGAGUGAGCCGACGCCACAAGCGACGCGCCUGGACGCAGUUCAUCAAGGGAGGCCCCGAGGCCUCCU
rnacentral:sRNA from 1 species